GUAGGGGGGCCUGCGUAACAUUAGCUUGUCGGUGAGGUAAAAGCUCACCAAGGCUUCGAUGCUUAACUGGUUUGAGAGGAUGACCAGUCACACUGGGACUGAGAUACGGCCCAGACUCCUACGGGAGGCAGCAGUAAGGAAUCUUCCACAAUGGGGCAACCCUGAUGGAGCAAUACCGCGUGCAGGAUGAAGCGUUUCGGCGUGUAAACUGCUUUUAUCACCGAAGAUUAUGACUGUAGGUGAAGAAUAAGGACCGGCUAACUACGUG
rnacentral:rRNA from 1 species